ACGAUCCAAGGGGGUCUUUGGAUAUGCCCAAAAGAAGGACAUUGAUCUAACAUGUUUUUUUCAUAUACCGUCACUAAACACAUUUAAAUCAUGUUGGAUUGAAAUGUGUCAUUUGUAUUUGAGUUGUGCAUAUUUAUAUCAGGUUACUGGAACAUGAUUUUGAUAUGUAAAACGUUACUAAUAGGCUACUCCUGACAAGCUGGUGGCAGUAGAGUGUUAUGAAUGCAACCAUGAAUGACAUUCACACGAGACCAUGCGAAGAAGACCAACAUCAACGGACAUUUUUGACUUUCGCGCCCUUGGCUGCUUGGUAGCAGGUCCACCACACACCCCCAUUCAAAAACAUUGUUGCACCAGCAGGAGAUUAUCAGCGACAUGCCCAUGGCCACCGACUUCAAGUCCUGCUGGCCAGAAAUGUUGGAUAUUGGAGAGAUCCAUGCAGAGUUAACUCGUUACCACUAUGCCACUGCAGUUAAAGUUUCUUUCCCAGCUGGACCUCCACUGCGAUGACCUGGUGAAAAUCUUCCAGAAGAGGGGAGGGCACACCGCAAGAAAACUGCAGUCAGUGGUAAGUAAAGGUGCCCCACUUCCUGUCCUUGAGGUGAACUUGUUAGUUUUCUUCAAUGCAUUUAUACCUGGUAUGACUUGGCGUUUCAAUCCCCAGCCCUUCUCAACACACGCGUGCCUAAGCCUACCGGUAGUUUGGUAAUGUCACAAUGUGAUGUUAAUGUCAUAUUUCUCAAUUCAUCUGACUGGGCGGUGGGCUGAGGGCAUGUGGAAACAAAGAAUGUUGUCAACCUGAACACUCCAUUUUGCAUUGAUAGGAAAAUGAUUAAGUAAUGAAUAUGUUUUGCUUAUCAAGAUCAUGUUUUUUGACAGACAUUUGUGUUCCACCAGCAGGAGAUCAUCAGCGACAUGCCCAUGGCCACCGACUUCAAGUCCUGCUGGCCAGAAAUGUUGGAUAUUGGAGAGAUCCAUGCAGAGUUGACGCGUCACCACUGCCACUGCAGUUAAAGUUUCUUUCCCAGCUGGACCGCCAUUGCGAUGACCUGGUGAAAAUUUUCCAGAAGAGGGGAGAGCAAACCGCAAGAAAACUGCAGUCAUUGCAGGAGAUCAUCAGCGACAUGCCCAUGGCCACCGACUUCAGGUCCUGCUGGCCAGAAAUGUUGGAUAUUGGAGAGAUCCAUGCAGAUCCAUCCAUUACCACUAUGCCACUGCAGUUAAAGUUUCUUUCCCAGCUGGACCUUCACUGUGAUGACCUGGUGAAAAUCUUCUAGAAGAGGGGAGGGCAAACCGCAAGAAAACUGCAGUCAGUGGAUUUCACUGCAGCUCAGCAAACGGCCAUGGGGAUAAAGCUCUAUGACGAUGGACAAUAUGGACGUUCACAUUGUGUGAGAAGGUGUUGGAAGUUCUUGGUGAUCUUGCCUGUGGCUCUGGCUGUAGUGAGGCUUUUUGUUUUGGAAUUAUCUCGCCCAGAAAAAUCUGUGUUUGAAAGAAGUCUGUAGUGAGGCCUCAAACACACUUUACUUUAGUGUGACCUUUACCAUCUAGUAACUUGGCCUGCUUCUUGGAGAUCUUGACUGUGUGGCUCUGGCUUUAGUGACUGUUUGGGCUUUUCUUUUCUUUUCUUUUCUUACAUUUUCAGAAUGGAUGCUAGCCACUCAUCAGUUUUUAUCCAUUUCCAAGUAUUCAUAAUGACUGGGAAUAUUACAAUUCAUACAAGGUGGGAAGGUGGCUGUUCACCAUUUUGGAUUUGUUGUAAUGGACCUCUUUGGCGGCAAAACUUACUGUACUUUGAUCAGAUCAGUAAAUAUUAGUUUAUUACUAAGGAAACAUUCAUGAAAAGAUAUAAUUUGUGAAUGGGCGACUGAAAUGAUAUGCUGUAUUUUUAAGUUACCCCAGAAAAUGAUAAUGGUGCUAGAGGUUACAGUAUCUGCCCGAAUUGUCACUGAAAAUGUUGCGUAGUGUGUAGUUAUGCAAGACACUUCACUGCAUAUUGCGGUCUUCAGAUUCAUUUCAAAGAGCAAAUUGUAAAUGUGUUGCCUCUAUUUAAUGUAAUGCGUAAAAUGGAUUGUGAUUAUGAUCUGUGAAUUCAGUCUGUUCUACUCAUGUGUCUGACCUGCACUAAAGGUAUAUCCGAUGUCAUGAAUCAUUUGUUUAAAUAAAAGGAAAUUUAGAGGUACAUAUAUUUGUA